GAUGAAGAACGUAGCGAAAUGCGAUAAGUAAUGUGAAUUGCAGAAUUCAGUGAAUCAUCGAAUCUUUGAACGCACAUUGCGCCCCUUGGUAUUCCGAGGGGCAUGCCUGUUCGAGCGUCAUUAUAACCCCUCAAGCUCAGCUUGGUGUUGGGGCCUGCUGCACUGGCAGCCCUUAAAAUCAGUGGCGGCGCCAUCUGGCUCUAAGCGUAGUAAUUCUUCUCGCUAUGGAGUCCUGGUGGAUGCUUGCCAACAACCCCCAAUUUUUCUAUGGUUGACCUCGGAUCAGGUAGGGAUACCCGCUGAACUUAAGCAUAUCAAUAAGCGGAGGA
rnacentral:misc_RNA from 1 species